AUGUCUGGCCAUACCACCCUGAACGCGCCCGAUCUCAUCUGAUCUCGGAAGCUAAGCAGGGUUGGGCCUGGUUAGUACUUGGAUGGGAGAGACCUGGUAGAACAAAGUGCUAACUUU
rnacentral:rRNA from 1 species